UUAGUAUUCAAUUGUCGUGUAAGGGGAACAAAAUUUUAGUUUUACACAAAUAAAAGUACAAAAUAAAAAAUAUGGACGGAAAAAAGAGCGGAAGCAACGUGUAAUCCAGUUUACAAGUUCCAGAAAGAAGCGAAUAUUACAAUCAAUGGCUACCUCAACUUCCUAAACGAUUACAAAAAAAGAUUUUGCGGAAUUUCCCCACAGAACGUGAUUCGUUUCGGAGCUAGAGAAUGGAACAACUUGCCCCUCCAAGAAAAGGAUCGCUUCAAAAACAUGCGAUUUUGCGAAAUUUCACCACAGGACUUGAUACGUUUUGGAGCUAGACUCUAACACACGUAUUUUAAUAAUUGCUACAUAUUUUCCAUAAUUAAGAUAUUUCUCACAUACCAUAUUCUUAAAGCGUUCCUUUUCCUGAAGGGUGAACUUUUUCCAUUCUCUAGCAACUAGAGAAUGGAAAAAGUUGACUUUUCAGGUGAAGGAACGCUUUAACAAUAUGGUAAGUGAGAAAUAUCUUAAUUAUCGAAAAUAUGUAGCAAUUAUUAACAUAGCUAGCUGCUAGAGAAUGGAACAAGUUGCCCCUCCAGGAAAAGGAACACUUCAAAAAGAUGAAACAACCUUAAGUGUUUGGAAGUAAGUCCCAUGGGGACAGCCCCGAUAAAUCUGAGCGGGAUAAACGUAGUCCAGUUCUUUCUCCGUAUGCCCGUGAGAAGGAGUCCAGGAACAGAAUGAAAAGGAAGCCAUCCAAAUCAAUCAAGAACCAGGUUAAGAAGAAAGCCGGACCUCCUUCUUUUCCCCCAAAGAAACGCGGAUUUAUACCCUUCAUGCGCAGGUUUCAAAGGAUGAAUAAGGACUUGCCGCCUAAUGAUCUGUUGAAAAAGGCAACUCGUAUUUGGUGCCACCUACAUAGAAGCCAUCUCAAACCACUUGAGAGGCCACUUUGAACUAUGAGAACUGGAGUGUAACCUAACACUUUUAAAUUUUAGUCGCUACAAACGUCUUUAAAGUGCAACAAAUCAAACGAUUUAAUUUGGAUAGUGAGCUUUAUAUGAUAUUGGAUAAAAUUACAACAGAAUAGAGGUCUGCAAGUUACCGACAAAAUACCAAAAAA